rnacentral:rRNA from 1 species
UACGAAGGGUGCAAGCGUUAUUCGGAAUAAUUGGGCGUAAAGGGUUCGUAGGUGGGACUGUAAGUCAAGUGUGAAAUCCCCAGGCUUAACCUGGGACGUGCAUUUGAAACUACAGUUCUUGAGUAUUGGAGAGGGUAGUGGAAUUGUAGGUGUAGGAGUGACAUCCGUAGAGAUCUGCAGGAACAUCAGAGGCGAAGGCGACUACCUGGCCGAUUACUGACACUGAGGAACGAAAGCGUGGGGAGCAAACAGG